rnacentral:misc_RNA from 1 species
GAUGAAGAACGAAGCGAAAUGCGAUACGUAAUGUGAAUUGCAAAUUCAGUGAAUCAUCGAGUCUUUGAACGCACAUUGCGCCCCCUGGUAUUCCGGGGGGCAUGCCUGUCCGAGCGUCAUUGCUGCCCUCAAGCACGGCUUGUGUGUUGGGCCCCGUCCUCCGAUCCCGGGGGACGGGCCCGAAAGGCAGCGGCGGCACCGCGUCCGGUCCUCGAGCGUAUGGGGCUUUGUCACCCGCUCUGUAGGCCCGGCCGGCGCUUGCCGAUCAACCCAAAUUUUUAUCCGGGUUGACCUCGGAUCAGGGAGGGAUACCCGCUGAACUUAAGCAUAUCAAUAAGCGGAGGA